rnacentral:rRNA from 2 species
AACUCUGGUAUUGAUUGGUGCUUGCAUCAUGAUUUACAUUUGAGUGAGUGGCGAACUGGUGAGUAACACGUGGGAAACCUGCCCAGAAGCGGGGGAUAACACCUGGAAACAGAUGCUAAUACCGCAUAACAACUUGGACCGCAUGGUCCGAGUUUGAAAGAUGGCUUCGGCUAUCACUUUUGGAUGGUCCCGCGGCGUAUUAGCUAGAUGGUGAGGUAACGGCUCACCAUGGCAAUGAUACGUAGCCGACCUGAGAGGGUAAUCGGCCACAUUGGGACUGAGACACGGCCCAAACUCCUACGGGAGGCAGCAGUAGGGAAUCUUCCACAAUGGACGAAAGUCUGAUGGAGCAACGCCGCGUGAGUGAAGAAGGGUUUCGGCUCGUAAAACUCUGUUGUUAAAGAAGAACAUAUCUGAGAGUAACUGUUCAGGUAUUGACGGUAUUUAACCAGAAAGCCACGGCUAACUACGUGCCAGCAGCCGCGGUAAUACGUAGGUGGCAAGCGUUGUCCGGAUUUAUUGGGCGUAAAGCGAGCGCAGGCGGUUUUUUAAGUCUGAUGUGAAAGCCUUCGGCUCAACCGAAGAAGUGCAUCGGAAACUGGGAAACUUGAGUGCAGAAGAGGACAGUGGAACUCCAUGUGUAGCGGUGAAAUGCGUAGAUAUAUGGAAGAACACCAGUGGCGAAGGCGGCUGUCUGGUCUGUAACUGACGCUGAGGCUCGAAAGUAUGGGUAGCAAACAGGAUUAGAUACCCUGGUAGUCCAUACCGUAAACGAUGAAUGCUAAGUGUUGGAGGGUUUCCGCCCUUCAGUGCUGCAGCUAACGCAUUAAGCAUUCCGCCUGGGGAGUACGGCCGCAAGGCUGAAACUCAAAGGAAUUGACGGGGGCCCGCACAAGCGGUGGAGCAUGUGGUUUAAUUCGAAGCUACGCGAAGAACCUUACCAGGUCUUGACAUACUAUGCAAAUCUAAGAGAUUAGACGUUCCCUUCGGGGACAUGGAUACAGGUGGUGCAUGGUUGUCGUCAGCUCGUGUCGUGAGAUGUUGGGUUAAGUCCCGCAACGAGCGCAACCCUUAUUAUCAGUUGCCAGCAUUAAGUUGGGCACUCUGGUGAGACUGCCGGUGACAAACCGGAGGAAGGUGGGGAUGACGUCAAAUCAUCAUGCCCCUUAUGACCUGGGCUACACACGUGCUACAAUGGAUGGUACAACGAGUUGCGAACUCGCGAGAGUAAGCUAAUCUCUUAAAGCCAUUCUCAGUUCGGAUUGUAGGCUGCAACUCGCCUACAUGAAGUCGGAAUCGCUAGUAAUCGCGGAUCAGCAUGCCGCGGUGAAUACGUUCCCGGGCCUUGUACACACCGCCCGUCACACCAUGAGAGUUUGUAACACCCAAAGUCGGUGG